AUUGAACGCUGGCGGCAGGCUUAACACAUGCAAGUCGAGCGGAGAUGAGGUGCUUGCACCUUAUCUUAGCGGCGGACGGGUGAGUAAUGCUUAGGAAUCUGCCUAUUAGUGGGGGACAACAUUCCGAAAGGAAUGCUAAUACCGCAUACGCCCUACGGGGGAAAGCAGGGGAUCUUCGGACCUUGCGCUAAUAGAUGAGCCUAAGUCGGAUUAGCUAGUUGGUGGGGUAAAGGCCUACCAAGGCGACGAUCUGUAGCGGGUCUGAGAGGAUGAUCCGCGACACUGGGACUGGGACACGGCCCAGACUCCUACGGGAGGCAGCAGUGGGGAAUAUGGGACAAUGGGCGGAAGCCUGAUCCAGCCAUGCCGCGUGUGUGAAGAAGGCCUUUUGGUUGUAAAGCACUUUAAGCGAGGAGGAGGCUACCUGGAUUAAUACUCUAGGAUAGUGGACGUUACUCGCAGAAUAAGCACCGGCUAACUCUGUGCCAGCCGCCGCGGUAACAC
rnacentral:rRNA from 1 species